rnacentral:lncRNA from 1 species
UUUGAGGUCAUAACCUCUACUUCUACAUAGAAGACUAAGUGAAAUUUCCUAAACCUAGCAGCAUCUCUUCCUCAGAGUUUCAUUUCAAUAUAAUUCGAUACUCAAUUUUAAGGAGCGAGUGAAGGGAAAGGAAAGUGGAGCUCCAAAACUGUGUAAACGUCUGGCACUAAACUAUAAUUUGCUAUUCCGAGUAGAAAAAUAUGUUGCGAUUGUCCAAAGAGAAAUAUAGAAAUAGUGUAAAUUUUUUCCAUGAUGCAUAAAGUAAUAGACACCAAGGAAAAAUCACCACAAAAGUAGGCAUAAAACAUCAAACCUUAAGCAGAAUAUACAAUAAUGAAGCAAACUACAGAAAGUCAUGUACUUCUCCAACGGAAUUAUCAAUGCAAGCCAACCAAAUCAUAUUAAAAAUGGAAAAAGAGCCACAGAGAAUGGAGUUGAUGGGUGCAAUAGGAGGUCCAAAACCAUGAUUAGAAAUCAUAAAGAAUGAAGGACACUGAGGAAUUUUUACAUAGGAUUUUUGUUAAAGUAUUUCUACUGUUGGAAUUUUUUUACCUGUUUAAGAUACAUUUUUUUUACCCAUUGAAAACUCGGACAAAUCAAAAUCAAAUUAAGCUCUACUUUAGUUGUAUCUCAUCAAUUCAUUAAACAAUAAGUAGUAAGUCGACUAACUUAUUUUUGAGUCAGAGGUCCAAGCAAAACCUAAAUAUCCAGAUUCUGGACUCAAGUAAUAUAGAUGAAGAACCUCCAAAACCCAGUCAAAAAGAAAGAGCUAGGCAUUAUGCAAAGGUGGAGUUGAAGCCUCUGUGCGAACACCCAAAUUGAGGAUUUGCAGUCUACCCUUGAAGGAAAUAAUCAGUAUGGAGGCAAAUCGGAGAACUUACCGUAGAGGCGAAAUGACCGCCGGAGAAACCUUUCGAGGCUUGGUGGCGGAGGAAAAUAAUGGCUCCUAAUCUAUCGAGAGAGUCAGGAGCAAAAUCAGAGCAACCGGCACAGAGAGAUAUGCAAAGAUUUUUAGAAUCAGCAAAAUAUGGAAGAUUGAAGAUCCAAGGCGUGGAUCUUUUCUGCGGAUGUGCACACACGCGGCAAACAAAGAAGGAAUUGAAAAGAGGAAAUUACCAGCCUACCCUUUU